rnacentral:rRNA from 1 species
GUAAACGAUGUCGACUUGGAGGUUGUGCCCUUGAGGUGUGGCUUCCGGAGCUAACGCGUUAAGUCGACCGCCUGGGGAGUACGGCCGCAAGGUUAAAACUCAAAUGAAUUGACGGGGGCCCGCACAAGCGGUGGAGCAUGUGGUUUAAUUCGAUGCAACGCGAAGAACCUUACCUGGUCUUGACAUCCACGGAAGUUUUCAGAGAUGAGAAUGUGCCUUCGGGAACCGUGAGACAGGUGCUGCAUGGCUGUCGUCAGCUCGUGUUGUGAAAUGUUGGGUUAAGUCCCGCAACGAGCGCAACCCUUAUCCUUUGUUGCCAGCGGUCCGGCCGGGAACUCAAAGGAGACUGCCAGUGAUAAACUGGAGGAAGGUGGGGAUGACGUCAAGUCAUCAUGGCCCUUACGACCAGGGCUACACACGUGCUACAAUGGCGCAUACAAAGAGAAGCGACCUCGCGAGAGCAAGCGGACCUCAUAAAGUGCGUCGUAGUCCGGAUUGGAGUCUGCAACUCGACUCCAUGAAGUCGGAAUCGCUAGUAAUCGUGGAUCAGAAUGCCACGGUGAAUACGUUCCCGGGCCUUGUACACACCGCCCGUCACACCAUGGGAGUGGGUUGCAAAAGAAGUAGGUAGCUUAA